GAUGAACGCUGGCGGCGUGCCUAAUACAUGCAAGUCGAACGCUAAAGGAAGGAGCUUGCUCUUUCCGGAUGAGUUGCGAACGGGUGAGUAACGCGUAGGUAACCUGCCUGGUAGCGGGGGAUAACUAUUGGAAACGAUAGCUAAUACCGCAUAACAGUAGAUGUUGCAUGAUAUCUACUUAAAAGGUGCAAUUUCAUCACUACCAGAUGGACCUGCGUUGUAUUAACUAGUUGGUGAGGUAACGGCUCACCACGGCGACGAAACAUAGCCGACCUGAGAGGGGAGUCGGCCACACUGGGAUUAGGACAAGACCCGGAAUACUGAGGGUGGGAGAAGGAGGGAAUCGUCGGCGGAGGAAGGAGGGCGGACCAAGGAACAACGCGUGAGAGAAGAAGGGAUUCAGAUCGUGAAGGUCAGGAAUGAGUUAAGGACGGGAAGGAGAGUGGAAAGGUCUGACUGUGACGGUAUCGGACCAGUAAGGGACGGCUAACUACGUG
rnacentral:rRNA from 1 species